rnacentral:hammerhead_ribozyme from 1 species
GUACUGUUGAGGAGUUCCAUACUAGGACGAAACGGCCGUCCAGUGC